rnacentral:rRNA from 1 species
UACGUAGGUGGCAAGCGUUGUCCGGAUUUACUGGGCGUAAAGAGCUCGUAGGUGGUUUGUCGCGUUGUUCGUGAAAACUCACAGCUUAACUGUGGGCGUGCGGGCGAUACGGGCAGACUGGAGUACUGCAGGGGAGACUGGAAUUCCCAGUGUAGCGGUGAAAUGCGUAGAUAUUGGGAAGAACACCAGUGGCGUAAGCGACUCGCUGGGCUGUAACUGACGCUGAGGAACGAAAGCCAGGGGAGCGAAUGGG